CUUUUCUUCUUUUUGAUCCUCACUUCUUCAAACGUGCUUUGUCAGCCCAUUUUAGGAGUGUUUUUUUUUUUUUGCAGGAGUCUUCACAGUCCACUGGAAUUCCCACCAGCCUCCUCCAUGCACUGGCUUGCUUGAGGAUCGCUUCUUCCUCCCAGGCACUUCCAGCAAAAGGAGGGUUAAGCAUGUGUGGAAGAGGAGGAGAGGGAAUCCCAGCCUGGAACUUGAGACUUUCCAGCUGAGAAAGAAAGAUUCAGAAGAGAUGCAGACGUAAUCAUACAACACUGCAAUCAACUUCUUUGUGUCAAAGGAAGUCAGGAAAAACACAUAAAUAACUGCCUGGCCACAUUUCACAUAGUACAGGACAUAUAUCAAUCAUGCCACCACUUCCUAGAGGUGAGGAGGCGGAGUGGAGUUGCUGAGGAUGACAUCUAAAAAUAUCUGAUGACCUGGGAAGAGGUGAAUGAAUAGACAUGACUUCUUGGGUUCCUGAUGAGAGAGGCCUCAUGGUACUCCUGGAUCCUAUGAAAUCUGUAGCUCAGGGCCAUACCCUUAAGGAUGUCAGAAAAGACUAUGUGAGGAUGCUGCUGCUGCACGUUCUUCUUGCCUUUUCCUACAUGUGAAAAUAUUUCUGCAAGUCUUCAGAGGGCACGUUGCCCAUAAAGUUUACUUGGCAGAGAAAACCACAAGUCUCAGCCUAAGGAGUCACACUGAUUGCACGAGUUGACUAGAGGUCCAAGUGUGAGCUUGUUAAACUGGACCUCGGAUGGGGAGGACCUGGGUACUGAACUACGCUUUCCUCUCCCCUUCUCUUCCUGGAUUCACAAUGCACCGCAGCACUUAACCUCCGGCCCCAGAGCUGAAUGUCUCUGAAUGGGCUGGCACUGGUACUUUUCUGAAGCUUUAACUGCUUUGAAGAGGGACAGGAUCGUGAUUGAGAAGAAAUCAUGGAUGGAUCGGCUUCAUGUGAUGUAGUACUAGGUCCUACGUAAACUAGGAAUGAAAUGGAACAUUUCAAAUUUAUGGCCCCACCUAAGGAAGGCAAGGUUCUGCUCAGGAUGUGUGAACAUGAUUCGUUUUCAUUGUUGGCUUCUGAGAUGUUGAUUUCAGGCCACCCAAGGAGGGAGAACAAGGGACAUCUCUCGGCAGCGGAACUGGUGAAACUAGGAUUUAAUAGAAGAGGAAAGGGAAUUCCCGGUGCAGGAUCAGUGAAAGAGGUGUGAUUUUGAGGGCCAUUAGUAUUUUUAACUCCGUGGCUCAGAUGGAAUAUUAGGACAUAAGGCAGGAGACUCAAAGGAGUUCUUUCUGGUGCUCGGAACUGGCGAGCUGCAUUUUGGGGGAUUUGGAGCUCUCCUAUAAAGCUCUCAGUGUUGCUGACCAUGGCACAAAAGAACAUCUGGUUUUCCUUAUUGAAUCACUGGACCUCAGGGUCAGCCCAGGACUGAACUAGACUUCUCUGAGCAAUAGUGCCAGGCCAGAGUGGGUUACCUUCUCACGAGUGCCUCGGUCCUAGUCCCGCUUCUGUGUUCUGAGGAGUGAUGCUGAGAGUUGAGUGACUGUAUUGGCGUUGGCAAGAAAAGGGGAUUUAGUUCACUUUCCAUUCAGAGGUGGAGCUUGGCCAGAGGUAGCAACUACAGUCCUAGAAAUCUAAAGCCUUAAAGGAGAUGCAAAUCAUUUCAAGUGUGUUGGGAAAAAUGAGUCAAGCUUAAAAUAAGUGGCUGUCUCUUCUCUCUGGCUCUCUCCAUGAUUUAAUACAUUAGAAUUUGUCAAGUCUCUCAACCCCAGAAAGGUCAGAGAUCUAAAAGACUGGAAAGACUGUAAGCCCCAUGUGGGUUAGGGCCGUGUCCAACUUGAUUGGCUUGUACCUACCCCAGAGAUGAGUACAGUGCCUGACAGAUAGUAAGCACUUAAUAAGUACCAUAAAAAAUGCUUACAGAAACUCAUCCUUGCUGGACUUAAAACGACAAGGGGUUUUGAAUUUGGGGAAUAGUACUUCCAGGAUGUCCAUACUAAUCCCAACCUGCUGCAGCUGCCUUUGUGCAGUAAUUAUUCUUCUCCAUUUAUGUAGCUGUCCUUUGUAGUCAGAGAUGUCACUCCUGUUUGAUUAGGAUUUAUCUUCAACACCUAUGUGCAUCUCUACAUGCUUUUGUAUAUUUAGGUCAGCUAUUUCAUCCUGAAAUGUUAUUAACCAUUAAAUCCGUGUUCCUCCUCCUACUCCCACUCUCUGUAAAUAAUUACCAAUCUCUCCCCACCAAAGAAUUGUAAAAGGUCCAUGACAGUGGGGGAUGACUGUCUUGUAUUCUCCUAAACCCUAAAUACAGUACUUUGUAGUUUGUGCUCAGUAAA